ACACCUAAAGCACGAGGACCUGCUGCGAGUGGUGAACUUCAUCAACAACUACGCAGAGGAUAGUGGAAUAGUAUUACCAGGACGCCACCCAGGACACAAACGCUUUGGUGGAAAGCUGCUCCCAUCCGAAGUGACAAAAGCAGCAGUGUGGCGUCUCUACAAGGAUUCGAUGACAACACUUGAGGUACGUUUGGUCGGGCGGUCAUCCUUCAGGAAUCUGUGGAGAAAAUUGCUGCCCCACAUCUCAAGCACGAAGCUGAGGACAGACCUGUGCUGGCAGUGCCAGAGGAACAACUCUCAGGUUUUCAGAUCUGCCAAUCUGCCAGAAGCUGUUAAGUCAGCCAAGCUGAAGAAGCACGAGCAGCAUCUCCUGCUUGUUCAGAGUGAGCGGUCUGUCUACAAGACGAUGGUUGCUGACUGCAAGACCACCUGUCAAGACCUGUAGUUGUCUCUGGGGGCCCUACUGAACCAGCAGGCAGACAUCAGGAUGCAUUACAGCUUUGAUUUUGCUUAACAACUGCACUACCCUUCUGAACCUAUGCAGCCAGGUCCAAUCUACAUUUUAACGCCUCGCAAGUGUUGGUUGUUUGGUGUCUGCUGUGAAGGAAUACCACAACAAGUCAACUACUUGAUCGAAGAAGGCAGCAGCGCAGUCAUCAACUACAUGCACCAUUUCUUCACCAACUACGGAGUUGGGGAAACACAUGUGGACCUGAAUUGUGAUAACUGCAGUGGCCAAAACAAUAACAAGUUUGUGCUCUGGUAUUGUGCCUGGAGGACCAUGCACAAUCUCCACCACAGUCUGGAUCAGCUCUACCUGCAGUGCCUCUAGUCAAAUGACUCUCUCCUACGUUGCGGCUACAAUUUUUUUAAUUCUGCUGCUCAGCCACUUUACCCCUGAUUGUAUGCAUAUAACUACCUCAUUUAUCGUGCUGAUAUCGUGUACAUACU